UACGUAGGGUGCGAGCGUUGUCCGGAAUUAUUGGGCGUAAAGAGCUCGUAGGCGGUCUGUCGCGUCGAAUGUGAAAAUCCGGGGCUCAACCCCGGACUUGCAGUGGGUACGGGCAGACUAGAGUGUGGUAGGGGAGACUGGAAUUCCUGGUGUAGCGGUGAAAUGCGCAGAUAUCAGGAGGAACACCGAUGGCGAAGGCAGGUCUCUGGGCCACUACUGACGCUGAGAAGCGAAAGCAUGGGGAGCGAACAGG
rnacentral:rRNA from 1 species